rnacentral:rRNA from 1 species
GACGAACGCUGGCGGCGUGCUUAACACAUGCAAGUCGAACGGAAAGGCCCUGCUUUUGUGGGGUGCUCGAGUGGCGAACGGGUGAGUAACACGUGAGUAACCUGCCCUUGACUUUGGGAUAACUUCAGGAAACUGGGGCUAAUACCGGAUAGGAGCUCCUGCUGCAUGGUGGGGGUUGGAAAGUUUCGGCGGUUGGGGAUGGACUCGCGGCUUAUCAGCUUGUUGGUGGGGUAGUGGCUUACCAAGGCUUUGACGGGUAGCCGGCCUGAGAGGGUGACCGGCCACAUUGGGACUGAGAUACGGCCCAGACUCCUACGGGAGGCAGCAGUGGGGAAUAUUGCACAAUGGGCGGAAGCCUGAUGCAGCAACGCCGCGUGCGGGAUGACGGCCUUCGGGUUGUAAACCGCUUUCGCCUGUGACGAAGCGUGAGUGACGGUAAUGGGUAAAGAAGCACCGGCUAACUACGUGCCAGCAGCCGCGGUGAUACGUAGGGUGCGAGCGUUGUCCGGAUUUAUUGGGCGUAAAGGGCUCGUAGGUGGUUGAUCGCGUCGGAAGUGUAAUCUUGGGGCUUAACCCUGAGCGUGCUUUCGAUACGGGUUGACUUGAGGAAGGUAGGGGAGAAUGGAAUUCCUGGUGGAGCGGUGGAAUGCGCAGAUAUCAGGAGGAACACCAGUGGCGAAGGCGGUUCUCUGGGCCUUUCCUGACGCUGAGGAGCGAAAGCGUGGGGAGCGAACAGGCUUAGAUACCCCGGUAGUCCACGCUGUAAACGGUGGGUACUAGGUGUGGGGUCCAUUCCACGGGUUCCGUGCCGUAGCUAACGCUUUAAGUACCCCGCCUGGGGAGUACGGCCGCAAGGCUAAAACUCAAAGGAAUUGACGGGGCCCCGCACAAGCGGCGGAGCAUGCGGAUUAAUUCGAUGCAACGCGUAGAACCUUACCUGGGUUUGACAUGGAUCGGGAGCGCUCAGAGAUGGGUGUGCCUCUUUUGGGGUCGGUUCACAGGUGGUGCAUGGCUGUCGUCAGCUCGUGUCGUGAGAUGUUGGGUUAAGUCCCGCAACGAGCGCAACCCUUGUUCACUGUUGCCAGCACGUUAUGGUGGGGACUCAGUGGAGACCGCCGGGGUCAACUCGGAGGAAGGUGGGGAUGACGUCAAGUCAUCAUGCCCCUUAUGUCCAGGGCUUCACGCAUGCUACAAUGGCUGGUACAGAGAGUGGCGAGCCUGUGAGGGUGAGCGAAUCUCGGAAAGCCGGUCUCAGUUCGGAUUGGGGUCUGCAACUCGACCUCAUGAAGUCGGAGUCGCUAGUAAUCGCAGAUCAGCAACGCUGCGGUGAAUACGUUCCCGGGGCU